rnacentral:misc_RNA from 1 species
GUGACGCGGGAGGUGUUCGAGGCAGCGAACGGGCGGCUGCGUGUCGUCGGGAGGGCCGGAGUCGGGAUAGAUAAUGUGGAUCUGCAGGCAGCGACUGAGUACGGGUGUCUCGUUGUGAAUGCGCCGACGGCGAAUACGAUUGCGGCUGCGGAGCACGGGAUUGCGCUGAUGGCGGCGAUGGCGCGCAAUGUAGCCCAGGCUGAUGCUUCAAUGAAGGCUGGAAAAUG